UACGUAGGGUGCGAGCGUUAAUCGGAAUUACUGGGCGUAAAGCGUGCGCAGGCGGUGAUGUAAGACAGUUGUGAAAUCCCCGGGCUCAACCUGGGAACUGCAUCUGUGACUGCAUCGCUGGAGUGCGGCAGAGGGGGAUGGAAUUCCGCGUGUAGCAGUGAAAUGCGUAGAUAUCGUUGGGAACACCGAAAGCGAAGGCAGAGCACUGGGUGCCACCUGACACUGCUAGGACGAAAGCGUGGGGAGCGAAUGGG
rnacentral:rRNA from 1 species